UACGGGGGGGGCAAGCGUUGUUCGGAAUUACUGGGCGUAAAGGGUCUGUAGGUGGCCAACUAAGUCAGACGUGAAAUCCCUCAGCCUAACUGGGGAACUGCGUCUGAUACUGGAUGGCUUGAGUGCAGGAGAGGAACGCGGAGUUCCAGGUGUAGCGGUGAAAUGCGUAGAUAUCUGGAGGAACACCGGUGGCGAAGGCGGCGUUCUGGACUGCAACUGACACUGAGAGACGAAAGCCAGGGGAGCAAACGGG
rnacentral:rRNA from 1 species